UCUCGUGCGGGAUCCCUCCUCCUCUACUGAGAACGCACGUUCUGAUGUAGCACCACCCUGGAACGUUAAGCGCCCACGACAAAUAACAGAAAAGCGAAAGUUCGUGACAAAACCUCAGGGCGUCUGUCUCCUCCCCACCAAACCACCGCAGAUGACAAACUUCGAAACACAACUCAACCCUCACCAAACAGCACCAGGAGCCCUCGGCUGUGCCUGCGGCCCCGAGGUGGCACCGAGCAGCUCCCGGAGACGCGUUCCCACGGGUCACAGGGCCCAGAAUUUCUGAGGACCAUUACAGCAUCCCCCUCCCUCUCCGAACGAGGCCCGCUGCAGCUUGAUCCUCUUGCCCGGCUCGAUCUCCAGCAGGCGGGAGAAGAAGUCCACGCCGACCGUGGGGUCGCAGGCGGGCGAGCGCAGCCCCGGGAAGCGGCCCUGCGUGAAGCGGUGCAGGAGGCACGACUUGCCCACCGUCGAGUCCCCGAUCACGAUGAGGCGGAACUGGUAGAUCCAGAUGGUCUCCAUGGCUCACGUGCCCCCGCGGGCCGCCCCGCCCGCCUGCCCUCCAGCUGCCGGGCAAGUUUGGCGGCGGGAACUGUCCCUUCAGCACCGCCCGGGCGCCCGCCCGCCGGCUUCCAGCAUAUUCCUGCGACUGCAGCCGCCGCCUGGUCCCCGCCCUCUCUGGAGGGAGGGGCGGGGCCCGGCCGGCCGAGGGGCGGGGCCUCGGGCCAGGGGGCGGGGCGCGCGCGGGAAGGGGCACCGGGCUAACUGCGCGCGACUCCCGUCCCCGCCCUCGGUAAAUCUCUUUCCCUGAAAGCUCACUGGGCGCCGCCGGGAAGGUGGGUGUGGCGAGAGGACGUGACGGCAGCGGCAGCCAAUGAAAGCGAAGCAAGGGCUCCCCUCCGCGAGGGUCAGCCAAUGAAAAGUGAGAAUCGUUUUCUUACGGUCGUGGGGGCGGGUUUGUCAGAGCCAGAGUGGGCUUCUGCGAAUAGGUCACUUCUGGGGCGCCUUUCUUCCCACGAAGGCCCUGCCCCUUCCCACGCCCCUGAAGGUGCCCGCCGACGGCGUCCUGCAGUCUAGCCUUGCUCAGCGCCGCCUCCCGCGCGUGCUAAGGCGAAGGAGUUCAGAACAGAAUGGAAAAAAAUUUGCAGAGCAAGGUCUGGAUGCUUCUAGCAAGCGCUUUGGCCAUUGCUCCUGCCGCCGCCGUGUAUCUUCUUCCAGUACCACGAAGAGUGAGAAAAAGACCAGGAUGAGUAAGUGUCUUCUGUGGACCACAAGGAAUCGUGCCUGUGAGAAGCCAGCGUGGAAAUGUCCCCGUGUCCCCUGCUGCAGGUGCACCACUGGAUGCCUGCGGACUGCGGAAGGGGCAGCCAGCACCGGUCAGAAGACAGAGGCUUGCGCCCACGUCAAGGGACUCGCAGCCGAAAGCUUUCUAGUGAUGUGGGAUUUGUGAAGACUGCACGAAGUCUGCCAAGCUGCCCAGGUUUAAAAAAAAAAAAAAAAAAAAGCUGGUUUAAAAUCUUCUCUGAGACCGGAGAGCAUGAUGGCCACAUCGCCACCACGGUGCCCGUUAGGUAUGAAUUCUUCUGCUUUCCUUUCCUUUCUUUUCCAUGUCCUCUGACCCUGGAACGGCCAAAACCCAGGGUUGGCAACAUGAGGGAGGGGAAGCAUUAGGUGGGGUGGAGAGCGGUCGCUGUCUUCCUCCUCCUCCCCAAGAGCAGGCUUCUGGCUGCAACAGGCCAGAGUUGGGGGUCAGGGAUUGGAGACUAACCUCAAAUUGACUGUGUGUUGUGUGGCCUGAAGAGAAUAAGCGGACAUUUUAUUAUCUAAGGACGCCCUGAAACUAACUGGUGUGACUUUUUACCUGGAGCUGGGAGACAAAGGGUGCCCCAGAGUGGCUGUAAGGGACCCAAGGGAGCAAAAAAGGGCCUCUCAGCCCUUGUAUUGUGCAGCACCCCGUGCUGUGACCUUCGCUACGCAUCCCACCAAAGCCUACAGAAGGCACGCUUCACUGCACACAGGUGCUAAUUCAAGUAACACGCUACUGGGUGUCAUGGUCUAUCAACAUCUCACCUUCUAACUGUCACAGCUCCCCACUCCUUCCCGAAAAUCCAGGCCACACAAUCCCAGAUUCCUAUCCUUGAAUAUUUAUUGCGUACAAUCCUUUCAGGUACAGAUAGAUCACAAAAACCAGCCGAGCUGUUUUAAGUAGAAAAGUAUUUAGUGCAGGAAUUCAGUGGUGGAAACUGCAGACAGGGCUGGAGGGCCGGGCCGUAGGUGGGGACGCCAGCGACGACGACUCCUAGAAUAGCACUGGCUCCUGGAGCUGCCAUGUCUGCUCUAAUCAAGAUGCUGGGGGAGGGAGGAGGAAUCAGCGAUUGACUCCAGGACCAUCCCCUCCCAGCUUGGAUACAGGGACCAGGGUGGCUGCCGCUAAUCUGCUGGCUCCAGAGCCAUUU